GCAGUUGUAUUUGGUGGAAGUUGGAAGCUCGAGCGGCUCACGGCGAAAAGGAAAGGCGUUCCUCCCUCUCUCUCCCUCUCUCCCACUCUCUCUCUCUCCCUCACACACACUCCCUCUCUCUCUCACUCUCACUCCGGCGCUUGGACAGUGGAAUUAUGAGCAGAGCUGACCCAGCCUGAGCCUCUACCACCCUGUCUUCGAUCCUUUACCGCUUUCACUCUGAGAGAAAUUAAAAGCCGACCAUGGAGAUCGGAGUCCGCAUCCUCUUGGCUUUCCUCGUGCACCAGGUUGCCCAUGUGGGCGGCCAAGAGGAUGGAGGCCACACGGGCUGUGUGCCUGGCUUCCAGGUCAAACAUUACCAGGUGGUGUACAGUGGACCUUUCCAGAAAGGCCAGCCGCUCGCACAAGUCGAGUUCGAUGACUGCGCAGGGAACGACGACGUGGCGUUCGAAGUCUCGGAUCCCAGCUUCGAGGUGGACGGGGAUUUGAACCUGGUCCCGCGUCGGGACGUCCUGCACAGCCCACCGGUCCUUUUCAUCCACGGCAUCAGCACGCACGCGGAUGACGUGGCACAGCUGGCCAUCACUGGACAGUCGCCGCACACACUCAGGAAUAUCCUGGGUCUUGGCCAGACGCGGCCAUACAGACACAAGAGAGCCUUGCUGGUCCCUCCUAUGAUCGUAACUGAGAACCAGAGAGCUCCCUUUCCUCGAAUCAUUGGCAGGUCUCAUGUGUUUUUGCCGGAGAAGUUAGGCAGCCGCAUCUUCCGACUGACAGGCCCGGGAGCUGAUCACGAUCCCAGAGGUCUCUUCAUCAUCGAUAUGGACACAGGAGAGGUGUCAGUCAGCCGCUCACUGGACCGGGAGGCCGUGGACUCUUACCAGCUCGAAGUAUCAACCACGGACUUUGCCGGAAACCUUGUUGACGGCCCCACCUUACUACUGAUCACUGUCAUCGACCAAAAUGACAACCGGCCCAUCUUCAAAGAGUCACGCUACACAGGAGAAGUGCUCGAGGGAUCCCCUACAGGCACCACAGUGAUGAGAAUGACGGCUUUCGACGCGGACGACCCCGCCACGGACAACGCGGCGUUGCGCUACAACAUCGUCAGACAGUCGCCUGACAAACCGUCACCGAACAUGUUCUACAUCGAUGCAGAGAAAGGCGACAUUGUCACCGUCAUCUCCCCCAUACUGCUCGAUCGAGAGACGCUGCCAACCACGACGUACGAGUUAGAGAUCGUGGCAAAGGACAUGGCAGGGAGUGAAGUGGGCCUCACGGGAACAGCCACUGCUACCAUUACCAUCACAGACAAGAACGACCACGCGCCCGAGUUCACGCAUCCGCUGUUCGAGGCGACUGUGAAUGAGGGAUCGACAGGGGUCGUGGUCAACCUCACAGUGGACGACCGAGACGACCCUGCCACGGAGGCGUGGAGAGCCAUUUACUCGAUAAUCAACGGAGAUCCGACUCAGAGCUUUGAGAUUCAAACCAAUCCAGACAAUAAUGAAGGGAUGCUUUCUGUUAUCAAGCCUCUGGACUAUGAGGCCACAGCGUUCCACACGCUACUCAUCAAAGUAGAGAAUGAGGACCCUCUGGUUCCCGAUGUCGGCUAUGGCCCCAGCUCCACGGCCACUGUCCACGUCACGGUGCUGGACGUCAACGAGGGCCCCAUCUUCUUCCCCGAUCCCCUCAGAGUCACCAGGAUGGAGAACAUCCCCAUUGGCAGCUUUGUGGCCUCUCUCAACGCAACAGAUCCAGACAUAUUACAGAUUCAGAACAUCAGGUACGCUGUUCUGCGAGACCCAGCAGGCUGGCUCAGCGUGAACCCAGUAAAAGGAACUGUCAACACUUCAGCCUCACUGGACCGUGAGUCUCCUUAUGUCCACGACAACAAAUACACAGCUGUCUUCAUCGCCACAGAUAACGGCUUCCCUUCAGCCACAGGCACCGGCUCGUUGGUUAUCCACCUGGAAGACUACAAUGACAACGCCCCCUAUGUGGUGCCGUCGGUAGCGCGAGUAUGUGAAGAUGCCCAUGACAUGAACGUCGCGAUAGUCGGGGGACGGGACAAGGACCUUCCACCCAAUGGCGCGCCCUUCAAGAUAGAGCUGGGGAAACAGCCCGGUCUAGACAAAACAUGGAGGGUUACCAGGGUCAACUCCACACACUCCCAGAUCAUGCUUUUGCACAGUCUGAAGAAAGCCAACUACCAGCUUCCGUUGCUCAUCACCGACUCAGGGGUCCCCCCUUUGUCCAACAACACAGAGGUCAAAGUUCAGGUGUGCGUCUGUAAGAAGAACAAGAUGCACUGCAGCUCCGCCUACUCCCACCACGCCAGCCUUCUUGUGCUGCCCGUGACACUCCUGCUCACCCUACUCUGAGAAGACACAGCAGCCUGGAAGAGGAGGCCAUAUUUGUGCUAGCUGAAAAAGAUGUAAGAAUGUGCAAAACUGUGCAGAUAGGAUCAAAUAACAACACAGCUGCUACCUGGCUGGGGGUGCGCGGAGUGCCGUGAAGCAAGUUGUGUUCCUCACGAGGCCCGAGACUUCACUCUUCCUGAUUCUGAGGACUCCGGGUCGGCGGCCCUCAAAGGACAAGCGCGUGUAUAAAUGUGUACGAUCUGUAUUAGAGUGUAUACAUUUGUAUGAUGUGUAUUAGUGUGUAUAAAUCCAAUCUUACCAUUCAGAAAAGAGUAAUUAUUAUUGAAUUGUCAGCUGUUUUUUUUUUUUUUACUUUUUAAGCACACUAUUUGUAGAAUCUGCCUCGGGUCAUUUUGAAAACCUGUUAGUCAUGCCCAAAUGAUAUGAACUUGCACACUGAUUCCAAACAGAAGGCAAACAGCAUGUUUACACAGAGAGUGAUUUCAGCUGAAUUUUUGCAUCCAUCUCUUGCGCGUCUCCCAGAACAGAUGCUCCCCUACUUUAAUCAAUCCAGCUGUCUACACAGGCCACAUAACAGCCCGUGUUUACAGAGGUGGAACAUAUUUUCCUUUUCUUUUUUUACAUUUUGAGGCUUCUCUUUUUGCUGCAUUUGAACAGAGGUGACUCAGUACAGUGCCUGUAAGCACCCCCUGUGUAGAGACACACACAGUGCUGGAACUGCUGCCGCUCUGCUAAUAUGCUGCUCCUGCUACGCCCACUGUGCACACACAUGGAAAGCAGUCACAGAAUUCAGCAGCACUCGCCAAAGUGAAUUAUGAAUGGACUGCUCUCAGUCUGCAACGUGAGAGACCUGCUUUACCAUAAAUCACUUGGUCAUAUUAAGACACAACCUGUCACGCAUCCUGUAAAUAUUUGAAAUGAAAAAUCCCUCUCUUUCCUUUGUCGUCCUGUACUACAUGUGAAAGUCUUUUGAACUCUUUUGGAGCAUUCGGUGCAGCUGUAUUAUAUUUGGGUGUGUGUUGUGCGAAAAGCUCUUUUGGGAGCAUUUUUAUCGAAUUUUGCUCUGACUGGGUCAUUACAACAGAUGGAUUUUUGUCAAUCUGUUGGGGAUUUACUUCAGUCUUUAGAGACAAACAUCCACUGAGGUUAGCUGUCUUAAGAGCUCAAUAUUUUCUCAGGUGGUACUUGGUAUAAAAGGUUUGAGAGCCACUGCCUUAAGAUACCUUGAUAAUCUCCAAUUCACCCCUAAAUUGGAGUAUACUUGGCAGAGUUGGCGGCAUUGUGAUGUCAAGGGCAUAGGUUUGGUUACAAGACACAAACUUGGUUCCCUGAUAAGGAAGGCAUGCUUUGCAGUUAGCAUAUUGUCAUCACCUUAAUGGAGACCUUAACCAGCUCUAGUGAUGACUUAAAAGCUGUUAUAGCAGCUAUUUUUACUUCACAGAGGCAGUUCAUGCUUUUGGAGUCAUCUUAGCUGCAGCGUACAAACAGAACCAUCUCGUCAAAAGUGUGUCUGUCGUUGGAUUUAUGUAUUACAGUUCUACCAAUUACAGUUUGGCCCAAGCUGUUAAUCUUCUAAUGGUUAUUUCUAGUAUGAUAAUGACACUUUACAAAGUAAAACAAAGUGAGUCUCAAAUGCUUUUCUGAAUGUGACAAAUAGUUCACUGAAAUUCACUGAACACCUUGGGAUGUGGUGGAAAAAAUAGAUUUGAAGCAUUUGUUAUUUCCUUAGAUGUAGUAUUGUGAUUUUUUUUUUGUAUGUGUUCUGUUUUGUUUUUUUACCUGCAGCUAUGCUGUGAUGUGAACAUGGUUCAGAUAAGAUGUUGUAUUUCAAUGAGACUUUCCUGGCUAAGUAAAGGAUAAAUAAAAUGAAAAAAAAUACAGCAUCAUCCCAACAGUUUAUGCCAUAAAUGCAGUUUCUUUUUAUUACUUUGGUGUUGUGUUUUAAUCGUGUGUGGCUUUCUUUUUUUCUUUUUUUUGCAGUCCCUACUUUGUUUUUGGUGACUCACCUUUUCUGCACUUCCUGUUCCUGGUCUUUUCCUGCCAUUUGUCUGAUCACAACCACUUCCUGUCCCUGUUGUUUUUACCUGGUCAACCUGUGUAUAUAUAAGCUAAUAUUCGCCACAUGUUCCAGCCAGGUUGUCCUUGUUCCCUGGGUGAUUUACCUGUUAACCUUGUAAUCUUAUAGUUUUUGUUUUUUGGAUUUUUACGUCAUCUGAUUUGGACUUUACCUGUUGCGCUGGAUUUCACUGUUAUGAUUUUGGACUGGAGUUUGUUUUCCGAUAGCUAUGUAGCUGAAUUUACUUUACCAUGAAAUGACAUUACGUUAGCAUGCUUGCCUUCAAAAGAAUCAGUGUAGCUACGAAUGAUUACAAAUCAUAAAUUUGAUGGGAGUUAAAAAGGAACACGGUCUCUGAUCACCAGCCCUUUGCCACAUACAACAAUCCAACACAAACCAGUUUGCUCUGUUGAGAUACAUAUACCGUCAUGCCGAUGAAUGGAGAAUAAAAAUAGAUUGCACUCUCUAUAAGCGGCGUCCAUUUAAUUUCAAUGCAAUCUACCGUCGGUAGAACUUGAAUCUCAGUUAGACGCAAAGCCACAGAGGCACGGAAGGAAAUGAAGAGAUAAAGACAGAAAAGGAGCCUUAGGAAAGGUGUCUGAUGUAAAGUAGUUGAAACAUGAAGAGGCUGAAGAAUAAAAGGGACACUGCAUAGAGGAGCCACUUUUCCUGAUUACAGCUUCAUGGCUUUCUGAAAGAGAGGAACAGAGUGACACACAAUCAUCUCCCUGCCUUCUCACAUUUGGAAAUGGAGUUGCAAGUUCUUGGGCAAAAUCUCAUUUGUGUUUUUUUUUUUCGUUUGUUUGUCUCCCUCUUUCUUGUUUCUCGACCUUUUUGCAUUAUGGAUUUCCUUAGCAUUUAAUCCCCUCCGUCAGUAAUCAUUUGCAUUGUAAAUAAUUCAGUUCAACAUUAAGUAAGGAGGGCUUUUCCUCGGGUGUUUCGUCUGGGUCAGCUCGUGGGUUUGAAUGGAAUUAAUAGUAUUUUACUGCAAAACAACAAAACUCCCUGGAACUGCCUGAAGUCUUCUCUACACUUAUAACUCAUUUCUUUUCUCUUCUUCCCCUCAUCCCCUUUUCCUCUCCUCAUUGUCUCCCCUCUGCUGACUUUGUAUAUUUGCCUGCUUUGCCUUAUAUUGGUUAAGCUGUCCAUGGCCGAGUAGCAACAAGGUUGUUUGUGAUGUCGCUAAGGUUGGAUGGAAGACGGCGAGAGGCUUGAUAGACCCAUUAAUGUUCCUUUUGGUCUUCCAUUUCAAGGCUGCACAAACACUUUAAUCUGUUUGUGUGUGUGUGUGUGUGUGUGUGUGAGAGAGAGAGAGAGA